UGGGGAAUUUUUGGACAAUGGGCGCAAGCCUGAUCCAGCCAUGCCGCGUGUCUGAAGAAGGCCUUCGGGUUGUAAAGGACUUUUGUCAGGGAAGAAAAGGAUAGGGUUAAUACCCCUGUCUGAUGACGGUACCUGAAGAAUAAGCACCGGCUAACUACGUGCCAGCAGCCGCGGUAAUACGUAGGGUGCGAGCGUUAAUCGGAAUUACUGGGCGUAAAGCGGGCGCAGACGGUUACUUAAGCAGGAUGUGAAAUCCCCGGGCUCAACCUGGGAACUGCGUUCUGAACUGGGUGACUAGAGUGUGUCAGAGGGAGGUAGAAUUCCACGUGUAGCAGUGAAAUGCGUAGAGAUGUGGAGGAAUACCGAUGGCGAAGGCAGCCUCCUGGGAUAACACUGACGUUCAUGCCCGAAAGCGUGGGUAGCAAACAGGAUUAGAUACCCUGGUAGUCCACGCCCUAGACGAUGUCGAUUAGCUGUUGGGCAGCUUGACUGCUUAGUAGCGAAGCUAACGCGUGAAAUCGACCGCCUGGGGAGUACGGUCGCAAGAUUA
rnacentral:rRNA from 1 species